rnacentral:rRNA from 1 species
UGGGGGAUAUUGCACAAUGGAGGAAACUCUGAUGCAGCGACGCCGCGUGAGUGAAGAAGUAUUUCGGUAUGUAAAGCUCUAUCAGCAGGGAAGAAAAUGACGGUACCUGACUAAGAAGCCCCGGCUAACUACGUGCCAGCAGCCGCGGUAAUACGUAGGGGGCAAGCGUUAUCCGGAUUUACUGGGUGUAAAGGGAGCGUAGACGGCGAUGCAAGUCUGAAGUGAAAUACCCGGGCUCAACCUGGGAACUGCUUUGGAAACUGUAUGGCUAGAGUGCUGGAGAGGUAAGCGGAAUUCCUAGUGUAGCGGUGAAAUGCGUAGAUAUUAGGAAGAACACCAGUGGCGAAGGCGGCUUACUGGACAGUAACUGACGUUCAGGCUCGAAAGCGUGGGGAGCAAA